ensembl:lincRNA C530043A13Rik RIKEN cDNA C530043A13 gene
GACGGCUUGCAUUAAACUCUGGCUCCUGGCCACUGCAGUACAUUGUGACCUUGAGGCACUGUGGGCACACUAGACAUUGCCACCACCCAAAGCCUCAUGCUGAUCCUUGAGAAGAGAGUAGGGCAAGUUAGCUAUUCUGUUGUGAGGAUACACAAGCAAUUUAUAAAGAGGCUCAUGUGGCAAUAAUGGGGAACUCUUGCCAACCCCAUGGAAUGGAGCCAUCCAGGAAACAGACACCCAGGUCCAGUCCAACUGUCAGAUGCCUGAAGCUUUUGCCAACACCUUGAGCUUACCACAGUGGAAUGAGGACCUGGACUGGGCCACCCAGGUCGUGAAUUGUGCCCUUUUCUCAACCUCAGUCUUUCUCAACUGGCUGUUUCUUAAAGAAGCAGAGAGGGGAAGAGGUCCAUAGCUCCAGGCUGUGAACUUCCAGAAAUGCAAGCAAUCUUUCAAACAAACAAACAAACAAAGAAACAAACAAACAAAACCAAAAACAUUCCUUACAGGAAGAUGAUCAUCUUAGACCAAGAAUGGAUGAACAAGGGUAAUUGUGAGAAGAAAA